UCUAACCUACGGGAGGCAGCAGUGAGGAAUAUUGGUCAAUGGGCUUACGCCUGAACCAGCCAAGUCGCGUGAGGGAAGACUGCCCUAUGGGUUGUAAACCUCUUUUGUCAGGGAGCAACGCCGGCUACGUGUAGCCGGACUGAGAGUACCUGAAGAAAAAGCAUCGGCUAACUCCGUGCCAGCAGCCGCGGUAAUACGGAGGAUCCGAGCGUUAUCCGGAUUUAUUGGGUUUAAAGGGAGCGUAGAUGGGUUGUUAAGUCAGUUGUGAAAGUUUGCGGCUCAACCGUAAAAUUGCAAUUGAUACU
rnacentral:rRNA from 1 species